CCUACGGGAGGCAGCAGUCGAGAAUCAUUCACAAUGGGGGAAACCCUGAUGGUGCGACGCCGCGUGGGGGAAUGAAGGUCUUCGGAUUGUAAACCCCUGUCAUGUGGGAGCAAAUUAAAAAGAUAGUACCACAAGAGGAAGAGACGGCUAACUCUGUGCCAGCAGCCGCGGUAAUACAGAGGUCUCAAGCGUUGUUCGGAAUCACUGGGCGUAAAGGGUGCGUAGGCGGUUUCGUAAGUCGUGUGUGAAAGGCGCGGGCUCAACCCGCGGACGGCACAUGAUACUGCGAGACUAGAGUAAUGGAGGGGGAACCGGAAUUCUCGGUGUAGCAGUGAAAUGCGUAGAUAUCGAGAGGAACACUCGUGGCGAAGGCGGGUUCCUGGACAUUAACUGACGCUGAGGCACGAAGGCCAGGGGAGCGAAAGGGAUUAGAUACCCCUGUAGUC
rnacentral:rRNA from 1 species